AGGGUGCAGGGCGGAUGCCUUGGCACUAGGAGCCGAUGAAGGACGUGAUAAGCUGCGAUAAGCUUCGGGGAGUUGCACGUAAACUUUGAUCCGAAGAUUUCCGAAUGAGGAAACUCACUUAGAGUAAUGUCUAAGUAUCAUUAAGUGAAUACAUAGCUUAAUGAGGGGAACUCAGGGAACUGAAACAUCUAAGUACCUGAAGGAAGAGAAAGAAAUUCGAUUCCGUAAGUAGCGGCGAGCGAACGCGGAUUAGCCCAAACCAAUAAAGUUUUCUUUAUUGGGGUUGCGGACAUAUCAUAACGAAGAGGUAUCGUAAUUGAAGAGGUUUGGAAAGACCCACCACAGAAGGUAAUAGUCCUGUAUGUUAAACGAGAAGACUUUAGAUAUGAUCCAGAGUACCACGGGACACGUGAAACCCUGUGGGAAGCAGGAGGGACCACCCUCCAAGGCUAAAUACUACCUAGUGACCGAUAGCGUAUAGUACCGUGAGGGAAAGGUGAAAAGAACCCCGGGAGGGGAGUGAAAUAGAACCUGAAACCCUGCACUUACAAGCUGUGGAAGCACAUUUCUUGUGUGACCGCGUACUUUUUGUAGAACGGGCCAACGAGUUACGUUAAGUAGCAAGGUUAAGCACUUAAGGUGCGGAGCCGUAGCGAAAGCGAGUUUUAACUGAGCGUUCAGUUACUUGACGUAGACCCGAAACCGGGCGACCUACCCAUGAGCAGGAUGAAGCGAAAGUAAAAUUUCGUGGAGGUCCGAACCCACGAGCGUUGAAAAGCUCGGGGAUGACUUGUGGGUAGCGGUGAAAUUCCAAUCGAGCCCGGAGAUAGCUGGUUCUCCCCGAAAUAGCUUUAGGGCUAGCCUCAAGGUGAGAGAUACGGAGGUAGAGCACUGAAUGUCCUAGGGGGUAUUGCACCUACCGAAGACUAUCAAACUCCGAAUGCCGUCAUCUUAUACUUGGGAGUCAGACUGUGGGUGAUAAGAUUCAUAGUCGAAAGGGCAACAGCCCAGAUCGUCAGCUAAGGUCCCUAAAUGUAAGUUAAGUGGUAAAGGAUGUGGGAUUGCACAGACAACCAGGAUGUUGGCUUAGAAGCAGCCACUCAUUCAAAGAGUGCGUAAUAGCUCACUGGUCGAGUGAUCCUGCGCCGAAGAUUUCCGGGGCUAAAACUUACUACCGAAGCUACGGCAUCAGUAAUGAUGGGUAGGGGAGCUUCCCAUACGGGUUGAAGCAUGACCGUAAGGACAUGUGGACAGUAUGGGAGUGAGAAUGUUGGCAUGAGUAGCGAGAUGUGGGUGAGAAUCCCACAGGCCGUAAACCCAAGGUUUCCAGGGGAAGGUUCGUCCGCCCUGGGUUAGUCGGGACCUAAGCUGAGGCCGAAAGGCGUAGGUGAUGGACAACAGGUUGAUAUUCCUGUACUACCGAUAACCGUUUGAGAGAAGGGAUGACACAGUAGGAUAAGCUAAGCACACUGUUGGUUAUGUGUGCCCAAGCAUUGAGGCAGUCAAAGUAGGCAAAUCCGCUUUGAUAAUGCUGGGAUGUGAUGGGGAGCGAAAUUUAGUAGCGAAGUAGCUGAUUUCACACUGUCAAGAAAAGUCUCUAUCGAGGUUAAAGGUACCCGUACCGCAAACCGACACAGGUGGGUGAGGAGAGUAUCCUAAGGCCAGCGAGAGAACUGUUGUUAAGGAACUCGGCAAAAUGACCCCGUAACUUAGGGAUAAGGGGUGCCACCAUCAGGUGGCCGCAGAGAAUAGGCCCAAGCGACUGUUUACCAAAAACAUAGGUUUCUGCUAAGUCGCAAGACGAUGUAUAGGAGCUGACGCCUGCCCGGUGCUGGAAGGUUAAGGGGAUCUGUUAGAGCAAUCGAAGCAGUGAACUUAAGCCCCAGUAAACGGCGGCCGUAACUAUAACGGUCCUAAGGUAGCGAAAUUCCUUGUCGGGUAAGUUCCGACCCGCACGAAAGGCGUAACGAUUUGGGCACUGUCUCAACAACAGACUCGGUGAAAUUGUAAUUCCGGUGAAGAUGCCGGAUACCUGCGACAGGACGGAAAGACCCCAUGGAGCUUUACUGUAGCUUGACAUUGGGUCUUGGUACUACAUGUACAGGAUAGGUGGGAGGCUUUGAAACCAGGACGCCAGUUUUGGCGGAGCCAUCCUUGGGAUACCACCCUUGUAGUACUGGGACUCUAACCAUAGGCCAUGAAUCUGGUCUUGGGACACUGUCAGGUGGGCAGUUUGACUGGGGCGGUCGCCUCCCAAAAGGUAACGGAGGCGCUCAAAGGUUCUCUCAGUACGGUCGGAAAUCGUACGUAGAGUGUAAAGGCAAAAGAGAGCUUGAUUGCAAGACAUACAGGUCGAGCAAGGAUGAAAAUCGGACUUAGUGAUCCGGUGGUUCUGCGUGGAAGGGCCAUCGCUCAACGGAUAAAAGCUACCCUGGGGAUAACAGGCUUAUCUCCCCCAAGAGUCCACAUCGACGGGGAGGUUUGGCACCUCGAUGUCGGCUCAUCACAUCCUGGGGCUGUAGUAGGUCCCAAGGGUUGGGCUGUUCGCCCAUUAAAGUGGUACGCGAGCUGGGUUCAGAACGUCGUGAGACAGUUCGGUCCCUA
rnacentral:rRNA from 1 species